CAGCAGCCGCGGGAAUACGUAGGUGGCAAGCGUUGUCCGGAAUUAUUGGGCGUAAAGGGCUCGCAGGCGGUUUCUUAAGCCUGAUGUGAAAGCCCCCGGCCCAACCGUGGAGGGUCAUUGGAAACUGUUAAACUUGAGUGCAGGAGAGAAAAGUGGAAUUCCUAGUGUAGCGGUGAAAUGCGUAGAGAUUAGGAGGAACACCAGUGGCGAAGGCGGCUUUUUGGCCUGUAACUGACACUGAGGCGCGAAAGCGUGGGAAGCAAACAGGAUUAGAUACCCGUGUAGUCCCUGUCUCUUAUAC
rnacentral:rRNA from 1 species